rnacentral:lncRNA from 1 species
AAUAAACAUUUAUCAUGAUAUAAGGAAAUAUAAAAUAACAACUUUAUUAUUGCCUCUAGGGCAUAUUUCCUUCAGGGGAGUCGCCCGUUCUUUUGUGAAAACCCAGCUUGACAAUUUCUCUCUCACAAAAUCCCCUUUUUUAUGACAAGUCCCGUCAAUAUUUUCUCUCUCACAAAAAGCCCUUGUUUUAUUCGUAAAAACCCAUGAUGUUUUCUCUCUCAUAAAAGAGCCCUGGCCCACCUGCCAGGGACCUCGGGACUCAAACCACAUACAUGCAGACUACAGAAACAGGUGUGUACCACCCCAUCCAUCGCCAUUUGUGGUUGAAUAUGCAUAGGAAAUCUCUAUAUCCUUUGUAGGGAAUAAUAGUUUUAAUCAAAAUGAAAAAUAUAGCCAAGGGAAUUGAGCCGGCGACCUCAUACGAACUUGCACCUCUGCCUGCCACUACAAAGAAGAAGAUAUAAUGUAUAAAUAGGAUAAUUAAACUUUCUGUUUGCAAACUGUAGUCAUAUGUUAUAAAUAAUUAAAAAUAAUUAUAUAAAAAAUAUGUACAAGUAAUUUAAAAAGCUAUUAUAUAUUUAAAUAAAUGAUGAUAAAAGUUUGAAAAUGUUCAUGAUUAAUAAAAUACUCAUGAUUUUAUAGAAAAUAGGUUACUUUAAGAACCUGAUGUAAUAAAUUUGUGUAUUGUCUAAAAAAAUAUAAAUUAAAAAUUAAAUUAGAUAUAAAAUAUAAAUAUGUAUGAAAAAUAUAAGUGAGCAUAGUGUGCCCCUAGACUGCAGAUCUUCAAAUGAAUAUUAUUUUAAGUUAUGUACACUUUUUUCAUUAUAUGAAGAUGUUUUAUAAUGAUACGCGAUUUUUAAAAAAUAAGGACAUUUCUCUAACUUAAUUUAUUUGUAUGCAUUAUUUAUAACAUGAAAUAUCCCAACUUGGUUGUUUUUACUGUGAUUAUUAAUUUUAAAAUUUCUAAAAAAGUCUAACUUGCGGAAAAUGGGCCGCACUGACUUUAGACUAUUACUUUAUAUCAUAAUUAAUUAUAUGGCUAUAACUAAAAUUAAUAAUUGAAUAUUUAAUGAAAUUAUACUAUCAAUUUUUAAAUUUUAUUUGUUUAUUUUUAUGUAUACUGUUUUUAACAUAUGAUUACAGUUUGGAUACAAAUAGUUUGACUCUUUACACAUGAUAUCUUCUUUGUUGGAGUGGUAGGCAGAGGUGCAACCUCGCAUGAUGUCUCCUGUUCGAUACCCUCGCUUGUCUUUUUUCAUUUUGAUUAUUCACUCCAAAGAUAUAUAAAUUUCCUAUCCUCAGUUAACCACAGAUGCGAUGGCUUGGUUGGCUAUACACCCGCUCGUGCAGUCCGUGGGUCUGUGGUUCUAGUCCCCGUACAGACAAGUAUAGGUCUCCCUUAUAAUUUUUAAGGUCGCUGGUAGGUGGGCCAGGACUCUUUUGUGAGAAAAAAUGAUGAGGGGUUUUCCAAAAAAUAGGGGUUAUUUUUGUGAGAGAAAAUAUUGAGGGGUUUUAAAAAAAACAGGGGCUUUUUUGAGAAUUUUGAUCAACUUCCUUUAAUAAAAAAACAGGCCACACGCCCCGUCUCUCGUUGACAGCGGGCCCCAGGCCACACUGGUGCGCCUAGUCAGUGCCGAUUUCGUAUCUAACCGUGAUUAGCACUGUGUUUGCACAAUAGAGCCAAAAUUUUGCAACACUUCAAUGUUUGCUGCGGUUUCUAUCACUAAGGUGAUCAUUUGCGUCAAGUUCUAGCACCACCAACGUAAUUGACUCGCUAAAGAAAUUUGACAUCCGUGGACAACACAAAUUGCCAUAAAAACGUUCGCAUUUGCCAUGCCUUCCAACGAACGUUCGCUGGUUACGAUGGUUCUAUGUAAUUUAUCUCAAUAACUAUAUAUAAUUUGACGGAAUUUGUAAUUUAUACAUGUCGAUUUUGUGGAAAUAGGAAUGUCUGGAUUAAAAAAAAGGCUAGAGGAAGAAGAAAUAAGGACUACCUGCAUCUUAAUCUAAUAACCCGAAAAUUUGACUUAGGUGUGUAUAGUUGGUCCCUUAAUUAUCAUUAUUUCGUUGGCUUUUAAGGGGUCUAGUACUCCAUCCGUUUCUUUUCAAUUGGCAUAUAAAUUUUUCUCCACCAAAAUCGUAAAUUUUGAUCAAUUUUACAAAAAAAAUAUCAACAUUCAUAAUACGAAUAUUAUUAGAUGCUUCAUGAAAUUGAUUUUCAUACUAUAUAACUUUAAUAUUAUAGAUAUUGAUAUUUUUCAAGAUAAUUUUGUUCAAACUUUGUGUAGUUUGAUUUCAAAUAAAUUUAUUUUGUACGAAGGGUAAACAGAAACGGAGAGAGGAUGGUUGCACGCGAGCUCAGAGCAAAGCAGGAGGACCAAAAGCAUGUGGGUAUAAAUUUUGGCGCGAAAAAGUGGCGCGGGUAUUCUUUUCGCGCUAACGGAAACGAUUUUGGCGCGAGCCUUGCUAUGACAUGGGCGCCAAAAUUCGCAAGAAAUCCCCUUCUAACAGAGAGCGGAGCGAGACCAUCGAUCCCCAAUCCAGGAGGCGAGGGAGGAAGAGAUGGAGCCGUCGCAGAGAAGCGAGGGCGCCAGCAUCAAGAAGCCCAGGACCCCGCCGGCGCCGCCCGGGGCCUACACCGGCGCCGAGCUCCUCGGGGAAAUACUCCGUCGCCUCCCCGACAUGGCGUCACUCGCCAGCGCCGCCCUCGUCUGCAAGCGCUGGGGCCGCAUCGCUUCCGACCCCGCCGUCUUCCGCCGCUUCAGCUCCCUCCGCAGGCCCCCGCUCGUCGGCGUCAUCCUCACCGACCUUGGCCGCGAGCGCUUCCCCCUCCACAACCCUGCUCUCCGCUUCAUUGCGGCACACUCGCGUCACCCCGAGCAGGACCUCGCCGCAGCAUUCGGCGAUUUCUACUUCCAACGCCACCCCGAGAUUAAAGCUGCCGACGAGUGGCGCCUCCGUGGCUGCGACGGUGGCCUCCUCCUCCUCUCCUGCGGCCGCUAUGCGUCGAAGCUCGCCGUCUACGACCCUCUCGAGUGUACUGCCAUCUUCUUCCAGCCACCCGAGCGCUGGCACACCGGCCGGUACGCCAUCGUCGCCGACGAGGCCGACGCCUCCUUCCAGGUCAUCGGCAUAGAUCUCUGGGUCGAAGAAACCUUUGCCGUCUUCUCCUCCCGCACCGGCAAAUGGGUCGUGCUUGACUCAUCGUUUCCAUACUGGGGAUUCGCGUGGCCUCGCAGCGACGGUAUGGCCGCUGGGCGGUUCGCGUACUGGCGGUCGAACACCAAGAAGAACUUGUUAAGACCAUGGGAUCGACUAGGCUAGGAUUUCGGAGUAGAUUGAACUAUCUAUGAUCUGUUUGUGUGUAUACCUUAGCGUUCCGGCCAUCGCUUCAGCGACGGUCGGUGUAGAGGUCGAUGGUGAUGGCCGAGAGUGGUGGCGUCGGUGGGCUUCCCAUCGCUUCAGCGCCUCCCUCUAGAUCGGAUAGGGUUAGGAGUGGGGAACAGUGGUGGCGACGAACCUCGUACCUCGUGCCUCUGAUCCCCACCUCCUCUUUAUAGCACUGCGCGACAGGGGCUCACCAGCCUUGCUUGGGUUGGACGCCCCCGAUCAGGGCGUGGGUCAAGGACCCAAUGAGCCGUUGGGCCCAUUGGUGGAGAGAUCAACCUAACAUUCUCCCCCUUGAUCUCAUCAUUAUACUUUUAACUUUAUACUUCGAAAUAACUCUUUUUAACGUACUCGUUCCAUCACAGAUUUGCAUGUAGAGCAUGUCUCAUCGUCACGGUUCAUUCCCGAUAGAAUCAACACCUACAACACACUCCUCUGUUUUGAAACAGAUUCUUUAACCUUGGACCCUUUUAUUGUCCGGAAAUCUUAGACUAUACCAUAAAAUCCAUGUCGACUGUGUGUUCUCCGAACACACUGGGCGGCAAGCCUUUAAUAAGCAGAUCUGCAAAUACUUGUCUGUUGCUUUCAUGCUCCAAGCAUUUCAACAUAAUUCCGGACUUUCUCCUUAACAACGUAUAACUCUGUGUCAAUGUGUUUGGCACCACACUUGACUCGUUGUCAUAGGAGCGAAUUACUUAACGGUUAUUGUUGUCGUCAACCAUUAUCAACUCCGGGUACAUGUUUCUUUAACCAUUUUGCCUGUCCCUCGGCCUCAUAUCAUGUUGUACAUUAUUUUUACAUCAUAUUAAUGAUAAUUGAUUCAUUCUUUAGAGUUUUUCUACACAAAAACUCCAAGUGUGAAAGUCAGCGACAAUUGUGGAUUUCGCUGUAUAUUUCACAAGUUCUAUUUCUGUAUUCACAACCUUUCGAGAACACUUGCUCCUUUUAGCAUGAGGCCAAUAUUUUUGACUCCAUUCCAGUGAUCUAUAUCUGGACUGGACAUUACCAAAACAACCCGGUUAUGUGAACUGUGUCACGGUAAUGUUAUACUUUUGCAUUCAUUAAGCUUCCAACAGCUGAAGCAUAUGGUACCAUAUUCAUUUGGUCUAUUUCGUAUUUACUUUUGGAACACUAAAGUUCCCAAAAUCAUUACCCUUUACUAUAAGAACAGGUGUAGGUUUUCUCGCAUGCAUACUUUAGAAACUUUCCUUAGCAUGCCCAUGCGACACUCCUAAUACCCCUUUUUUUCUUUUCUCGGUGAAUCUCGAUCCUUAUAACGAGAGACAUUCUUUUGAACUUUGAGGACAAGAACUUCGUUUCCUCCUGCAGUAGAUUGACAUGACCACUAGCAAGUAGGACGUCAUCCACAUGCACAGGAUUAUGAAAUGAAUUUCCCAUUCUAUAACUUUGCUUGGAUACAAUUGUCCUCUCAUUUUCUUUAACCCUAAAUAACAUUUGAUUGCUUUAGUCCAUAAAAGACUUCUUCAGGCAGUAUCCCCUGUGUUCUUUACUUUCAUCUGAUGUAACUCAGAUCAUGAUGUCGAUCAUGAUGUGCCACUAACACUCAUUGUAAUCUAUUCAUUCUCUUUGCACAAAAUCUUUCGAUUUAAGUCGUGCUUUAUACCUUCACAUAUUUCCUUUGGAGUCACACUGACCUUGUAGACCCUUUACAGCCUAUUGUUUUGGCUUCAUUGGAAAUUACUCAUGAGUCCCAAACAUCGUCGGGAUUCACCAAAUUUAUUUCAUCUCAUAUAGUGUCUUAUCAUUUAGACAAAACAGACACUACUCAAAGCUCGAUUGAGUGCUUUAAUUGAGGUAGGAUCAACCUCCGUUAACAUAGACUUUAUAGUAAUCAGAAGUAUCUGAUUUUCUCAUUCCUUGAGACCAUCUGUGUGUCAGAUACUGGCACUUCUUUUCAUAUGGGGCUGUUGUUCCUCUUUCAUUGCCAAGAGGCAAAUUAAUUGUAUAGUCUUUCAUUUUCAAGCGGCCAUAGGUUUUAAUCAUUCCUCCUUUAUAGAGCUAACAACCUGUGUUGUAUAGGUCAUACAACAUGCUCCCCCAGAUACAAUCUAUUUGAGUCUUAGGUAUCUUCAUACCAUGCUCCCCCAGAUUACUCCAUCUUCACUAAGAAUGGCGUAUCUUUAAACUUUAUUAUUUAGGUUUAUUCUGUUAAAACUUUCUUCUUUAUGGCACUUUAAGCACCGACUUAGUAUUCCUUAGUUUUCUUUUCUUGAGGGGUAUUAUUAUGAUCAUCGUACUCCCCCAGACGGUCACAUUCUUCAUUAAUGGAUAUCUCAUAUUUCUUCCCCCCCCCCUCGAAAUGUGGCAAGAACUUUUUUGCCACAAUUUCGAAAAAACCAUUCACAACUCUUGUGAAUUGAGAAAAGUUUGAGUAUCUACUUCAUUUAUUUGAUUACUUCAUAUGUAACGAAGUUAUCUGUUGACUGGUAUGGGAGUACUUUUUCCUUAUUCCAUUUCAGAAACUCAACAGAGUUCUUUAUCAUUAGUACUUUUGCAAGUCACACUUGCAUAUCAUUCUUAUCUUUAGGUUCGUCUGUAACUUUUAUUCUCUUCGGAGUUAUUGAGUGCUUAAUGAUUGUUACACAUAAGAUGUAUGGUCGAUACUAGGAAAGCACAAUAGCUACUCCAUACUUUUCUCCCAGAGUGGGACACAUUAAAAUCACAUGAGUCAUCAUGUGUUUCUCCUGUCAUACAGGAUAAGUCUGAGAAAAUUUCUGCCGCCAUACGGGUUACGAAGGGAUUUUCCCAGACUUUUCCUGCUAUGCGGGUUUUAUCAUAAUCAUAUUUUCCCGCCAUGCGGGUAAUUCUCUGUAAGGGACAUAAAUGCCAGAAUUGGCUCUUUGGACUGCAUAUUCAAUCAUCAAGUUUAUAAAUAAAUCCGAAUGCUCUUUGACACAUAUGCUUGAUCAUGCAUGUUGCUUGUUUCAUCUCAAAUCAUGUUGACUGAAAAAUCUUGUUCAUAGAGAGUACAUGAAAGACAUUCGUCAACCAAGACUCUCAAUGAUCUAUCUCUUUUCUUUUCUUGGAUAUUAAUAUCCGAGAAUUAUUUUCUUUUGAAGCCAUUCUUUAGAGAGAACAUACUCCCUCACAUUAUGACCUUUCUUGGUCAUCUUUCGGGUCACAAGUACCCAGACAUUCGUUUUCACGAAUGAAGGCAUGGAAAAAUUAUAGUCUGAGAAAAAUUAGCCAAUAAUCAACAAUAAUGAGCAUAAAAAUAACCCCAUGUUGAUCUAGUUAAAAAAUACGCACAUUAAAUUUUUAAAACUUCCUUUUAUAUUCUAAAUCACCGUUGGGCUGAAUUAGAACGAAACAUCAUCCUUAUCCUUCUACAUUAAUUCCAUAUCACCGUCGGGCAGAAAUGGAAAUAACGCAUAUAACUUAUAAAUAAUGUGAUGAUAAAAUUUCUAUUAAGCAACUUUGCUAAGAAAAUAAUCAUCAUUAUCAACUUUAUUGCAGCGGAAAACUAACAAUAUACAUUUCUCACUCUUUAUCAAAUGCUUUGAAAUUUGUCACUUUGAUACAAAACUUAUCAGAGAUUUGAACUUUUAACUAUAAGACUCAUUGAAUUAUAAUAUUGUCAUCUUCAACGUUGGUCAGAAAAUAACAAUACCAUAAUUAAACUUUAAUCAAAUAUCUUUCUACUGUCAUAGCAGAAGCUAUCUGAAUCUGAGAUUUGACCCACAGGGGUAAAACAUGGCUAAGAACAUUUUUUUCCAAUUAAAUUUUCCCGUUGGUUCCAAUUUAAUUGAAGAUAAAACUUUUACUUUGCAGCGGAAAACAUGAAUAAAAAAUUCAUGACCUUUUAUUCUUGACAGAAACUUUUCUUUGACCAAAAUAAAAAAUCAUGAACUUUAUUAUUUCCUUUAUAAAAAUUCAUGACCUUUUCUUUUUCUGAAAAGUUUAUAUUUUUAUUUUCAGAAACUUUUCUAUUUUUCUUUGCAGGAAUGUUUCUAUUCCUUUUCUAUUUUCUAAACAAAUUUGCGUUGGAUUAUUAAUUUGAAUAGAAAAACUAUAUUAAAUUUGCCCAAAUAAACGGACAAAAGACCAUUUUAGACCGGCCCAACCACCGAGCGCACGCGCCUGCCGGCCUUUCCUCUAGCCUAAACUGGCCCAAAGGGCCCAGCGCGGGGCGCUGAUCUCUGGCCUGGUCCGGCAGACCAGAAGCCCAAGCCACUUUCGGCCUACUGGCCUGUCUGCGCUAGGGUUUUAUCUGUGACCGUCGAUUAGGAUCGGACUGUCCAGCGCCGAUUUCGCUAGAAUAGAACUGGGAGGGGUUCCUCCCGAUCGAAACCUAGCGCCCCCAUUCGCAUCGUUCGACUCAACCCCUCUGCGCCUCUCUCCGUCGCCCCUCUGUGCGGCAGCGGUGGCCGAGCGGAGACCGCGAUGCCUCUGCCGCACUACGGCGGCAUCCUCUACGUCGGCACCCAAGACGGCCGACGCCCAGGCCUCGCGCGGGAGGCGCUGCUGCGAAGGCACGGCGGCCCCGGCGGCCGGUUCCGAAGGCCCGCGUGACGGGGAAAACUCUCUGGAUCGAAAAUUCUUUUUCUGUUUCUGUAAUCAUCUGUCAUCAUUUAAUCGAUCUAGGAACUGUAGGUCACGAUUUCUUUUCUUUGUACUACUCGAAAAAUCUAGAGCCUAGAUCGCUCUGACACCAUUGUUAAGACCAUGGGAUCGACUAGGCUAGGAUUUCGGAGUAGAUUGAACUAUCUAUGAUCUGUUUGUGUGUAUACCUUAGCGUUCCGGCCAUCGCUUCAGCGACGGUCGGUGUAGAGGUCGAUGGUGAUGGCCGAGAGUGGUGGCGUCGGUGGGCUUCCCAUCGCUUCAGCGCCUCCCUCUAGAUCGGAUAGGGUUAGGAGUGGGGAACAGUGGUGGCGACGAACCUCGUACCUCGUGCCUCUGGUCCCCACCUCCUCUUUAUAGCACUGCACGACAGGGGCCCACCAGCCUUGCUUGGGCUGGACGCCCCCGAUCAG